ACGCGAAGAUUCAGAUAGGGCGGAUAACAAUGAUCGAGGUUUUUAGGAGACAGUGGAGAUAGUUCCUGCGGACGAUGUGGGUAUUCCUGAGACAGUUACUUCUGAUUGUGAUGUCGCUGUUACGCGCAGAAUUUCGUCAAUAGUUGAAGACAAUGAGAAUAUAAACGAGUUUACGAAUAAGAAUUUAAUUGCUUUAUCCCGAUAGAGACACGAGCCGGGUGAGAGCUCACAGGUUGGAACAAGUGGACCGUCCUCCAAUUCUUCCCGUGUGGCUCCCGAUGAUGAGGACUUGCAGGUCGAGCAACUAUUUGAAACCAAGAAAGAUUUGCAGGAAGCUGUGCACCGGCCGGUAUUAAAAUAUAAUUUUGAGUUCAAUGUAAAGAAAUCAAACAAGUCAUUGUUGACAGUUGCUUGCGUUGAAGACAGUUGCAAUUGGCGCUUGAGAGCAACUAAGAUGGACACGAAUGAGUGCUUCGUAAUUCGUAAGUAUUCAUGGGAAUAUACUUGCGAAGUGGGAAUUCUUCUAAACGAUCACAGGCAAACUCGAGCAUGGUUUAUUGAUCGACAAAUAAUGCACAAGUAUCAAGAUCCACGGACGAUCUACAUACCUUCGGACAUCAUUAACGACGUCCAUCGAGAGUACGGAGUGGUCAUGAGCUACUAGAAAGCGUGGAAGGCCAAAGAAUGUGCGUUGGAGGAUUUAAUGGGAUCGACUGAAGAGAGCUAUGCUAAAUUGGCUAGGUAUUGCCAUAACAUGGGGACAACUAAUCCUCGCAUAGCAUUUUUUAUUGAGACGGGGGCGAUAAUUGUUUUAAGUAUUUCUUCAUGACUCUCGGACAAUGUAUUCGGGGUUUUCGAAAUGCAAUGCGACCCACAAUUCUAGUUGAUGGUACAACUCUGAAAGCUAAAUAUCAAGGCAAAUUAAUUAUUGCUACAUGUCAAGAUGCCAACAUCCAAAUUUACCCUAUUGCAUUCGGC
rnacentral:lncRNA from 1 species